rnacentral:rRNA from 1 species
GGCUCAGGAUGAACGCUAGCGACAGGCCUAACACAUGCAAGUCGAGGGGCAGCAUGGUCUUAGCUUGCUAAGGCCGAUGGCGACCGGCGCACGGGUGAGUAACGCGUAUCCAACCUGCCUUACACUCUUGGACAGCCUUCUGAAAGGGAGAUUAAUACAAGAUGUUAUCAUGAGUAAGCAUUUUCGCAUGAUUAAAGGUUUACCGGUGUAAGAUGGGGAUGCGUUCCAUUAGAUAGUAGGCGGGGUAACGGCCCACCUAGUCUUCGAUGGAUAGGGGGUUCUGAGAGGAAGGUCCCCCACAUUGGAACUGAGACACGGUCCAAACUCCUACGGGAGGCAGCAGUGAGGAAUAUUGGUCAAUGGGCGAGAGCCUGAACCAGCCAAGUAGCGUGAAGGAUGACUGCCCUAUGGGUUGUAAACUUCUUUAUAAAGGAAUAAAGUCGGGUAUGGAUACCCGUUUGCAUGUACUUUAUGAAUAAGGAUCGGCUAACUCCGUG